AUUGAACGCUGGCGGCAUGCCUUACACAUGCAAGUCGAACGGUAACAGGUCUUCGGAUGCUGACGAGUGGCGAACGGGUGGGUAAUACAUCGGAACGUGCCUAGUAGUGGGGGAUAACUACUCGAAAGAGUGGCUAAUACCGCAUGAGAUCUACGGAUGAAAGCAGGGGAUCGCAAGACCUUGUGCUACUAGAGCGGACGAUGGCAGAUUAGGUAGUUGGUGGGAUAAAAGCUUACCAAGCCGACGAUCUGUAGCUGGUCUGAGAGGACGAUCAGCCACACUGGGACUGAGACACGGCCCAGACUCCUACGGGAGGCAGCAGUGGGGAAUUUUGGACAAUGGGCGCAAGCCUGAUCCAGCAAUGCCGCGUGCAGGAUGAAGGCCUUCGGGUUGUAAACUGCUUUUGUACGGAACGAAAAGCCCUGGGUUAAUACCCUGGGGUCAUGACGGUACCGUAAGAAUAAGCACCGGCUAACUUCGUGCCAGCCGCCGCGGUAA
rnacentral:rRNA from 1 species